UUGAAUUGCGGUAUCUCGCGCAAGCGCUUCUGCGUUCGGCCCCACAGAGCCGAGGCCUCGGCGCCGCCAUUUUGCACCACAAACUUGUCUCAAGGGUCUGGUGCGUGACCUGUGCACAAGACACCCUGUGGAGCAAGUGAAACUAGGCUAAGCACCAAGGAGAAAACACAAGACAAGUACAGGAUUACACAUCUCUGCUCCCCUUCUGUCAGGAGAGGCCACGUGACUGGUCCAUGGGUGGUGAACAACAGUGAUCCUGUCAUUUCUGAGCUGAAGCAUUUGCUCCUUCAUCUAUGACCUUCCACCACUCUUGCUGCACACUUAUGGUAGAGCUGCAAGGUGUUUUUCUCUGUCUGCUGGGAUAACUGAGUCACAACAUGGAGGGCAGCUGUCUUAGAAGCCACCCAGACCUUCAGACACACGCCUUUAGAGCCAUGAAUAUAAGAAGUCCACCAUCCCCAAAGAAGCCCAGCUGCAGGUACCAUGUGGAGAGACCCCACAGAGAGAGAGAGAGAAGUUCUCCAGGAACCUCAGCUACCUGAGCCUCUCCAGAUCUGGCACCAGAAACACAAGUGGGGAAAUCUCCUCCAUGACUCCAGCUGCAUCCACCUGAAUACAACUGCAGAAGGGACCCCAAGUAAGAACUGCCCAGCCAAGCCCAGACAUCACUCAGAACUGUGAGAGAAAACAAUAGAUGAUUUUUGUUGCUUUAUGCCAAUAAGUUUGGGAUAGCUUGUUAUGCGGCAAUUGCUAACCAGGGCAGUUCCCCUCAAGCUUGAGCAAAUCUAUGCUCCAUGGGAAUCAAGAAGCUUCCCGAGAUUUCUCCUGAUUGAUAUUGGAGUGGAAUGGCUUGUUCGUGGUGGGUUAUGUGUCCUCAGAUGCUGCCUCUGUCCUAGGCCAUAUUAACUCUUAUGAGAAGUCCAGCCCCAGUUUCAGUUCCCCAAAUGAAAAUCACUCAGACCAAGCAUUUGAGUGAGUAGUAAACUUCAUGCAAAAUUUAAAGAGACAUUGCCAACCACACAGGCUUCUGUCAAUGGGCUUCCUCGUCUAUACCCAUACAAACAUCCCUUCCCAUUCUCCCCCUGCCCUUCAGGUUGCUCUGGGCAUCCAAAUUCUUCUCUUGCUACGAAGAGUAAUUCAGCUCCUCUUAAGCUCCCAGUCCAAAACACCCACACUUAAGUGCCUUAAGAAUCCAGCCCUGUACUUCCUUUGUGGUGCAGUGGGUUAAGGAUGGGGCAUUGCCACAACUGUGGAGCAGGUCACAACUUCGGGAUGGAUUAGAUCCCUGUCCAGGGAACUUCCACAUGCCUUGGGCAUGGCCAAAUAGUAAUAAUAAAUAAUAAUAAUAAUAAUAAUAAUAAUACAGCUUUUUCUGGAAACUGUUGCGGUUUAGACAGGCAUUUUUUCUUAUAUGCACAUACAUUAUAAAAUGUAAAAAAAAAAUACACACAGAUUAAAAAAAAAAUCAAAAACUGCCUCCAAAUCCCAUUACCCAGAGGUAACUACUGUUAACAUCUGUGGUAAAUAUCCUAUCCGUACACCCCAAUUUUUACCCAAAUGGAGUCACAUUAUCCUUGUUCUAUAUUCUCCUCAGGCAUCAUUAGUAAUAAUAAUUUUAUCAUUUAUUUAGUACCUGGUAUGUACUUGGUAGUUGCAUAAAAGAGACAUCAUCUUUUUCCUCAGGGACUUUGGUGAGAGGCAGGGCUGGGAUCUGAAUCCAGGCCCACCUAACCCUAGGUCCUAUACUCUAACCACAUAAGCCUAGGCUCCUAUCUGGGUCCAUAUCCCAAACCUACACACCACUGCAGAGAGACUGUCCUGGCCCUGCACAUCUCGAACCUGACCUAGUGCCCUGACAAAGUCCUCU